rnacentral:rRNA from 1 species
AUUGAACGCUGGCGGUAUGCUUAACACAUGCAAGUCGAACGGUAACAGGCCUUCGGGCGCUGACGAGUGGCGGACGGGUGAGUAACGCGUAGGAAUCUGCCUCAUAGUGGGGGACAACGUGGGGAAACUCACGCUAAUACCGCAUACGCCCUACGGGGGAAAGCGGGGGAUCUUCGGACCUCGCGCUAUGAGAUGAGCCUGCGUUAGAUUAGCUAGUUGGUAGGGUAAAGGCCUACCAAGGCGACGAUCUAUAGCUGGUCUGAGAGGACGAUCAGCCACACUGGGACUGAGACACGGCCCAGACUCCUACGGGAGGCAGCAGUGGGGAAUAUUGGACAAUGGGCGCAAGCCUGAUCCAGCAAUACCGCGUGUGUGAAGAAGGCCCUAGGUUGUAAAGCACUUUCAAUUGGGAGGAAAACCUGCCGGUCAAUACCCGGCAGCUUGACAUACCUUUAGAAGAAGCACCGGCUAACUCCGUGCCAGCAGCCGCGGUAAU